rnacentral:rRNA from 1 species
GUGUCAGCAGCCGCGGUAAUACGUAGGGCGCGAGCGUUGUCCGGAAUCAUUGGGCGUAAAGCGCGUGUAGGCGGCUGAGUAAGUCUGCUGUGAAAGUCCAAGGCUCAACCUUGGAAUGUCGGCGGAUACUGCUCAGCUGGAGUACGGGAGGGGCGAGUGGAAUUCCUGGUGUAGCGGUGGAAUGCGCAGAUAUCAGGAGGAACACCUAUGGCGAAGGCAGCUCGCUGGAACGUUACUGACGCUGAGACGCGAAAGCGUGGGGAGCAAACAGGAUUAGAUACCCUGGUAGUCCACGCUGUAAACGAUGGAUACUAGGUGUGGGGGGUGUCAACUCCCUCCGUGCCGAAGCUAACGCAUUAAGUAUCCCGCCUGGGGAGUACGGCCGCAAGGCUAAA